rnacentral:rRNA from 1 species
UCGGAUUGCAGCCUGCAACUCGGCUGCAUGAAGCUGGAAUCGCUAGUAAUCGCGGAUCAGAAUGCCGCGGUGAAUACGUUCCCGGGUCUUGUACACACCGCCCGUCACACCAUGGGAGCCGGGAAUGCCCGAAGUCAGUGGCCCAACCGCAGGGAGGGAGCUGCCGAAGGCAGGCCUGGUGACUGGGGUGAAGUCGUAACAAGGUACC